AUUGAACGCUGGCGGCAUGCUUUACACAUGCAAGUCGAACGGUAACAGGCCGCAAGGUGCUGACGAGUGGCGAACGGGUGAGUAAUGCAUCGGAACGUGCCCAGUCGUGGGGGAUAACGCAGCGAAAGCUGCGCUAAUACCGCAUACGAUCUGUGGAUGAAAGCGGGGGACCUAAAGGCCUCGCGCGAUUGGAGCGGCCGAUGUCAGAUUAGGUAGUUGGUGGGGUAAAGGCCCACCAAGCCAACGAUCUGUAGCUGGUCUGAGAGGACGACCAGCAACACUGGGGAUGAGACACGGCCCAGACUCCGACGGGAGGCAUCAGUGGGGAAUUUUGGACAAUGGGCGCAAGCCUGAUCCAGCAAUGCCGCGUGCAGGAAGAAGGCCUUCGGGUUGUAAACUGCUUUUGUACGGAACGAAACGGCUCUGGUUAAUACCUGGGGCUAAUGACGGUACCGUAAGAAUAAGCACCGGCUAACUACGUGCCAGCAGCCGCCGCAGUAA
rnacentral:rRNA from 1 species